AUGGUUAGUGUUUAGGUGUUCUCUUGAACCCUAUUUUUCCAAUUAAAUUCAGCUAUAUAUCUAUUCACAUUUAUGUCAUGAAUCUGUACUAUAAAAGUGGGUUUGUACAUCAAGAACAAUUGAUUUCAAUUAUGCAUUUGUGUCCUGUUAUGAAUCUGUAUCAUAAAAGUGACUUAUACUCUACUUAACAUAGUUAUUAUUAGUAUAAUACUCUUUCAACAAUGGGUAGUGUUUUGGUUUCGUGACUUAAAGUUCUUUUAUUAAAUUCAAAUAUAGGGUUAUAUUGAGCAAUAAAAUAGUCAAGUGCAUACUUGCUAAAAUGUUUUCAAAUUUUAACAUUAUAUAAAAUGAUAGUUUUUUAUGAAUUUUAUUAAUGAGUAUCUUAAUGACACAAGUAUACGUGUGUAUUUUUUUUUUUUUUUUUUGUCUACUCACCGAAUACAAUCUUUUUUGUCUACUCACCGAAUAUGCGUGUAACUUAAAAUGUGUGUUUCUUUAAAAAAAAAAAAAAAAAUCCAAACUCUUUGCACGAAUCUAAUUAAUUAAAAUCUAGAAGAAGAAGAAAAAAAGUCCCAGGCCCAUUCUUGUACCAACCACAGGCCCAUUCUUGUAACUUCACACCGCUAAACUCAUCCAUAAAUAGCUUGGUAUUUUACAACAAUUUUCAUCCACUCCACCUUCUUCUCUGCUCUCUCUCUCUCUCUCUCUCUCUCUGCUACUACCUGUUCUUGUAAUUACCUCUCGUCUUUUUAGCACAAAAAGAAACACUAAAAUGGCUCACAAAAGCAAGGUUUUGAUAAUCGGAGGCACAGGCUACAUCGGAAAAUUCAUCGUGGAAGCAAGCGCAAAGGCUGGUCAUCCCACUUUUGCUCUGGUCAGAGAGAGCACAGUCUCUGAUCCCGUCAAGGGAAAAAUCGUUGAGAAUUUCAAGAACUUGGGUGUCACUUUGGUCCACGUACGUAUAUUAAUCUCUCUCUGUUUGUAUGUGUUUUUGUGAGUUUUUUUUCUAGAUGGGUUUGGUUUUGUUUGUGGGAAAAGUUUGAUGAUGGUGUUAAAAAAAAAAAAAUGGAAAUGCAGGGAGAUCUUUACGACCAUGGGAGUUUGGUGAAAGCAAUUAAGCAAGUGGAUGUCGUGAUAUCAACUGUGGGUCACUUGCAAAUAGUAGAUCAGGUCAAGAUCAUUGCUGCCAUUAAAGAAGCUGGCAACGUUAAGGUUCGUGUUUCUAAAUUUUACUCAAAACUUUAAUAGUUUGAAACCCUUUUAUCUAAAAUUUCAUUCCUUCAAUUUAUUUUCCCUAAAUAAUUUGUAAAGUUUAAUUUUUAAUUGGGUCAGCAACUUGGCUUAAAAAUAGAUUCCAAAGGCUAGUAAAGUUGUUCUUAGGAUCAAGAUAAAGAAAACCCGUUUGUGAAUUCUGAUGAUGCUACCGACCAAUUAAUAAGAGUUUUAAUAUUUUAUUUUAAAAUUGUUGAAAGUGAUCUAUUGAUUCUGCUUGAUGAAUAAUAAAAGUUAUGUUAAUAAUUAAUUAAUUAAUAAAAAAAAUAAAAAAUUAAUUGAUAUCUUGAUCUGCUAAGCAACGAACGUAUAAGGUAAACCUUAUCUCAAGAAAAAAAAAAUAAUGAAAACAAGUAUAAGAUAAAAAUGUCUGUUUUUUUAUUUGUUCUCUUAUGAAGGUAAUGUUUAAUGAAAACAAAUAUAAGAUAAAAAUGUAUCUUUUUGUUUGUCCUCUUAUGAAGGUAGUGUAAUAAGUGAAUCUAGUGUAUUGUUGUAGGUUCUCAAAAAAGAAAAAACAAGAAGAAAAAAAAAAAUCUGUGUAUAUUAUGGAUUUGGAAUGUGUUAAAUAAUAAAUUAAUCUUCCUGCUAUUUAUAUACAGAAAUAUAAAAUGAGUAUAUUGACCAAAAGGAAGAAAAAUGUCCACGUAGGGGACCCCUCUACCAUGACUUUACAAAUAGAGAAAAUUCGGUUGGGCGUGAACAAUCCGUCAUGGGCCCACGUCACAUGUCAUAACUCACAACAACCGCACCAAUUUGGUGGAAGCUCUGUAAUGACUAAAAUAAUGACUUAAUCAGAACACGCCAAAUUGGGCCUUUAUUAUUAUUAUUAUUAUUAUUAUUAUUUUUUAAUGGGCCUUUUCCUAUUGGAUUUCUGGGACUGAACCUUACCAAAAAAAACCUAUAAUAAACAUAUUUUCCGGUGGCAUAAAUGAUAACUAUAAAAUAUAACUUUUAUUUUUUAUUUUUUUAUACAAGAUAGAAUUCUAAUUUAACCUAAUCUAAGUGUAUAUGUGUGUGAAGAUUCCUCCUCGAGACUUGUACCCGAUCCUUGUUCUCCAUACCCCACAAGCACUUAUACUCGUGGAGUAACCAUCGCACCAAGGGUGUGUAGUGGUAACUAUUCCUCCUCGAGACUUGUACCCGGUCCUUGCUCUCCAUACCCCACAAGCACUUAUACUCGUGGAGUAACCAUCGCACCAAGGGUGUGUGGUGGUAACUAUAAAAUAUAACUAAAGUAACAUAAAUAGUAUUUAUUAUCAUGUCAGUUUGAGCUGUAGUAGAAAAAGGUAACGGUAUUACUAUCGCGCACUUGUCGCAUGACAAAUAUAAGUACUUGUGGAGUGUGAGAGAUAACGGCGGGAUUCAAGUUUUUAAGAGAGAGUUUUACAUACAUAUAUACUUAGAUUAGGUAGUAGAAUUUUUAUCAUGUAUUAAAAAAAAAAAAAUUUGUGGUAUUAGAAAAUUUCUGUUGUAUAAUAAUUGUUUGGAAAUUAGUGAGCAAAUUUCAAUGAAAAAGUCUACAAUUAUUUAGAGGUUUUAUUGGUUGAGUUGUUUUUCAGAGAUUCUACCCAUCUGAAUUCGGAAACGAUGUGGACCGUGUCCAUGCUGUGGAUCCAGCGAAGACUGCAUUUGCUUCCAAGGCCCAAAUCCGACGUGCUGUUGAGGCCGAAGGCAUUCCCUUCACUUAUGUGUCAUCCAACUACUUUGCUGGCUAUUUUCUUCCUACCUUAGCGCAGCCAGGAGUCAGUGCUCCUCCUAGAGACAAAGUCGUUAUCCCCGGAGAUGGAAAUCCCAAGGGUAACUAACAAUUUCUUUAAGCUCUUGAUCAGCAUUUUGCAUUAUCAAAAUGUGUAUCCAUGCUUGCCAAACACGACAUUUAAGCCUUUUCAUUACGAGUAUGUCUUUUUGGCGAAUAGAAUAUCACGUCUUUCUAAAUCAUUUGUCACUCCUUUAUUUGGUGUAAUUAAAUUUUAAAUGAUGUGACAACAUGUAUAAAAUGGACUAUCUUAAUUUUGAAGCAAAUGGAGAAGAGUGUCCACUGAAACUGAAUGAACUUAAUUGUAUAGCUAUGAUAUGUAUAUAACUAUUUGAUCAUGUGUUGCUUUGAACUCUCCUUGCAGCAAUUUUUAAUAAGGAAGAGGACAUUGGAACCUAUACCAUUAAAUCUGUGGAUGACCCAAGAGCAUUGAACAAGGUACUCUACAUCAGGCCUCCAGGAAACAUUUACUCCUUUAAUGAGCUUGUUGCCCUUUGGGAGAAGAAGAUUGGCAAAACCAUUGAGAAAAUUUAUGUUCCAGAGGAAAAGCUUUUGAAGGACAUCCAAGGUCAGUGACAAAACCUGUUCAAAAUUCCAAGGAUGCUAUGCUUAAUUUAUGUUCUGUCAUGUUCUUUAACAUUAGUAUUUUUAACAUUGGCAAGGAGCAAAACAUUGGUUAAUUAAAUAUGUUUUUGAUCUUGGUACAUUUGCAGAGGCCCCAAUUCCAAUUAAUGUGAUAUUGUCAAUCAACCACUCAGUCUUUGUGAAGGGUGAUCACACUAACUUUGAAAUUGAGCCAUCAUUUGGUGUGGAGGCUUCCCAGCUGUAUCCAGAUGUCAAAUACACCUCUGUGGAAGAAUACCUGGACCAAUUUGUUUGAGAAAUUAAGCCCCAGCUCUUGUUAUUAUUAAGAUAAAUAUUAUCGUUGUUGUGGUUGACUUCAAGCAAAGUGUGUAUGUACUUAAGUAUCCUGUUCUCUGUAACCAUAAUCUAUUUUGAUUGGUGCAUUUGCCUUUACAAUAUGUACUUGUAACUGAAUGUCUUUCAUAUUUCUUGAGCUCUAUUUUCUCUUACGUAUCUUCUCUCUAUUGUUGCAGAGUAAUAAUGAUAUCAGAGAAAAAUGAGAACAGGUUGGUUUCAGUGGUUAAAACCUAUUGUACGAAUGGUUUUGUUGUGCCAGUUAAAUUAUCAACUCUUAGAUUUUUAAUAGAUACGUCCAGGGUUCCGAUUUCUCCUUUCCCAUUAUAACAAUCUAAUCAUAAGAAAAAAAAGGGUUUAAUUGUUGCCUGGGAAAACUGUAGUAACUUAUAAUGGAAUGGCCAAGGUGGGUUUGCCGGGUUGCAACAUCAUAGUUAACUCAAACGUGUGGUAGUUUUUCCACAUGGAUUGUUGUUCUCUCACACUUAUUAAUGUGAUUAAGUACACACAAUGAUUAUAAUUCAUGCAUGAUGUUCACAUUUUUUUAUUUAUAUACUGAUGUGUAUAUUUAAAAUGUGAAAUAGGUAAUAAGUAAGAACAAUGUACAAUAAAGAAUAGAACAUAUAAAUCAUCUUUGUUAUAGAAUGUAGGUCACAAAACUGUGAGAUUUACAUGGCAGUGAUAACGACAAUGCAAAUACUGGAUAUAUAUAUAUAUAUAUAUUGCUUCUUUUAAAAGUCAAAAUGGCCACACCAUUAUUACUUUCACCUGCUUGAGAUCAACAUGAAAUUGACUUCUCCUUGGUUUCUUUGCUAUGUUGGAGAUAUAUAUUACUAUUAGUUAUAUUAGCCUAAUGUAAUAGGCCCAAACUCAUUCCUGCUUGUACUAGUAGUUUAGGGUUUAGUCGCCUAUAUAUACUCAUGUUAAGGUUCAUUAUAACACAGGUUAUUGUAUUACACUUCUAUACAAUAAAGAUGUAGCUCUUAAGGGAUUCCUCCGUAGAUGUAAGGCGUCAAGGCUGAACCAUGUAACUCUCGUGUUCUUGAUGUUCCUAUUCUAUGCUUCCUCUUCCGCAUCUACUCUAGCAUACACAACAUAGUAUAACACAUUGCGUUUGAUAAUAUUGUCUAUUUAACAUGGUAUCAGAGCUAAUAUUCAACAUGGCAUCAGAGCUAAACUUCGUUCUUGGCAUCAAACAAACAUCUCUAGCAAGCAAAGAAGAUUCUCACGUGCACACCACCAUCAAAAGUCACACAUGCUUGUCUGCCGGAUCUAGACUCCACGGCAUCUCGCAGCCACCAUGGUUCUGUGCUGUGUCAAAAUCCAACAACCAAGCAAGCCGUGGCUUAACUUUUCAAAUCUGUGCAAAUCCAUGCCUCGCCUGAUGAAACCAAUACCACAGACGUGCUACAUGACCUCCCGCGACAAAAACCCAAAAACACGGCCACCAACAGCAGCCUCAUGCGCUUCCGUUGUAGCUCACGCGCCGCCUCGGAUUCCUCAGGAGCAGAUCCUCCUCCGGCAACACGCGCCACCAUGACGGCCUCGUAGCUCGCCGAUCUGCCAAACCCCGAAGUCCGAGCAUCAAUCUCCGUUGCACGCGCUCUCACGCGCCUUCCGAAGUUCUCCACGCGCCAGUGGAAUAACCUCACGCGCCACACGCGCCUGAAGUCUGCUGCUGACGUCAUCUUGCCACGUCAGCACCCCGCAAGCUGUUGCCACGUCAACCCUAGUCCAGGUCAGCACCACGUCAUCAGGAUGAGUCAGCGGCUCUGCAGCCCGAUCCGUGACCCGACCUGGAAAACCCGGAACCGACCCGGUCCAUGUAUCCGUUGACUUUGACCCUGAUAUGUUGACUUUGACUUUCUUUGACUUUGACUUUUUGCGUUGAAAUUUCCGAAAGGGCCUAUCUUGCUCAAUUUUUCGUGUAGAUUCCGAUUUUGGACUCUGUUUCUUCAUUUGAAACUCCAAAAUUGGUCAAUUGGCCCAUUCUUCAUUGCGGUUUUUUUCAAAGGCAUUCUUCAAAGCAUCUCCAAGUGAUUUUCUUAUGCUUAUCCAACCUCAAGCCUUCAUCGAGCUUCUGCCUUGAGUUUGAGGAAGGGUGUUAGAGAUAUAUAUUAGUCAUAUUAGCCCAAUGUAAUAGGCCCAAGCCCAUUCCUGCUUGUACUAGUAGUCUAGGGUUUAGUCGCCUAUAUAUACUCAUGUUAAGGUUCAUUAUAAUAUAGGUUAUUGUACUACACUCUUAUACAAUAAAGAUGUAACCCUUAAGGGAUUCCUCCGUGGAUGUAAGCCGUCAAGGCUGAACCACUUAACCCUCGUGUUCUUGAUGUUCUUAUUCUAUGCUUCCUCUUCCGCAUUCACUCUAGCAUACACAACAUGGUAUAACACAUUGCGUUUGAUAAUAUUGUCCAUUUAACAUGGUAUCAGAGCUAAUAUUCAACAGCUAUUACGAUCGAUCAUCACCAGAUUCCAGAUGCAUGCUUCAUUAAUUAGGAGCACCAAAUGGUCCAACCAAGAUGAACAUGCAUGUCCUAUAGUGCAAAUGAAAAGAUAAAAUCACAGUGCUCCCGUGCUAGUGCAUGUGGAUGCAGUAGAGAGUCUUGCAGGUUGUCCCUUGCAAGAGUGAAGUGGUCCUCACCUACGUAGGACCAGCGGAGGGAGAAAGCAUGGCAAAGGAGUUAGAAGAACUGUGGAAAAAGUUGUCUUUCACAGAAGAGGAGGGUGAGAGCAUUGAGUUGGGAAGGAGCACUACAGAGGCUGCUAUAGCAAUAGGAAAAAACUGUCUCGUGAUAAAGGUGCUUUCACAUUGGAGCAUAAACAUUGAUGCUCUUAGGAAGAACCUUAGAAUGGUGUGGAAACCAAAUAAGAGCAUCCAGAUAAAUGAAGUUGAAGAUGAACUCUAUCUAGUGGAAUUUGGUGAUGGAAUGGAUAAGAAGAGAGUUAUGGAGAUGUGCCCGUGGACAUAUGAGAAGUCUUUGAUCCUGUUGAGAGAGUUUGAGGGCGAACAGAUACCAUAGGAGAUUUCCCUUUGGCAGUCCCCGUUUUGGGUGCAAAUACACAAUCUCCCGGUGCAAAUACACAAUCUCCCUUUAAAGAGUAGAACCAGAGAAACGGGCAGAGCUAUAGGAGAAAAGUUGGGGGAGAUCUUGAACGUCAAUGUAGCGAAAUCUGGAGUUCACUAGGGAAAAUCCUUAAGAGUUAGGGUGAAGAUUGAUGUUACGAAGAAACUUGUGAGGGGAAAAAAUAUUGUUUUAAGUGGGGGGGGGUGGGGGGAGCAGAGGUGGAUAGCCUUCAAAUAUAAGAGGCUUCUAAAUUUCCGCUAUAGGUGUGGGCUGCUCAGCCAUGGUUUAAAGGAAUGUAAGGAAGGGAAUGAUGAUGAGGACCAUUUGGAUUUAAGCAAGCUUCUGUGUGGGGCAUGGCUGCGAGGUGAAGCGCCAAGGAGAGGCGGAGGAGAGUUUAUGAAGGCUAGACAGGAGGAAGGAAGGCUCGGUAGGGGGUGGUCGGAGAACAAAGUGGGGGAAAGUCAGGCAAGAGUGAAGCACACGACAGAAGGAAGGAGUGGGGCAAGAAAGGUGCUGGAGUCAACGCAACCACCCUUGGGGAUUGGGGCCAUGGAGAAUGAGACAAACUUCGUAGAUCAAAGCUGUCAAGAGCCAGUGAAGGAUCAUGAGAAGGGAAAAUGUAUUUGUCUAGGAGAGAUGACAAAUAGAAUCCUACCUAUCUUAUGCAAGGAAGUUUGCGAAGGAAGUGAGACGGAAAAGGCACCAAAGGAUGUGAUGCAAUGGGAGACAGGGAUGUUUCAAGGGGAAGAUAAUUUGUUUGAAUUUAGAGUGGUGCCAGCUAACGAAGGAAUUAACGGGGUAAAAGCCCAGAUAGGUAUGGAAUGCGGGCCAGGCCCAAUGGUGCUAUGCUAUAAGGAAAAUAUGAGCUAGAUUGCGGAACAGUUGGGCCCAACGAGUGGCCACUUGUGAGAGACUGUGCCCUCGGCCCAUUUUUUAUGUGGUGUUGGGCCAAACCCACGUGAAUGGGUGGAGUCGUGUUAUUGCAUCUCAAAAUGGCGGUUCGACUGAUUAUAUUUUCCCCUUUAGAUUAAGGGUUUUACAAUAGAGUCGGUACUUAUUUAAUUAUUAGGAUAAAUAAAAAAACCAAAAUUGAAAAAUUCCUCAUUUUAUUAAUUUUCAAUUGAAUUUACAUUGAUCAUUGGAAAAUUACAUGGUCUUGGUCCUAAAUACAAUCUAAGAUAAAGUACAUGGCUUUAUUUCCUAGUUACAAUCUAAAAAUCGAAAAUUACAUUGAUAAACAUUUGAUUUACUAACCCUUGAUCUAAGCUCGGAGGCUAUGUUACAAGGUGGAAAGGUGUUAGGCAUCCACCUUGACCUGUGAAACCGGUCUUCUAGACUAUGGUGGCCAACAUUCAUAUCACAUCAUCUAAUAUGUCAUUAAUCAAUUUGCAUGUUGAAUUUGAAGUGUAUGCAUGUGAUAAACCCUAAUUCAAUUUAUUAAGCAUUUUAUUUGGAUUGAAAAAUAAAUUCUAGUGAAUGUGUGUGGAUGGUGAUAUCCUAGAUUCAAGAAUUAUUAAACAAACAUAUUUUUCAUGUUUUUGAUGUGGAUUUAUGAUCGAAACUAGUAUUAUGCAUGAACAUAUGAUAAACAACCAAGAACAUAUGAAGAACACAUAAGACCAUUUAAGAACAUUCAAACAUAUUCAAGAGAAUUUAAAUAGUUACUAUCAUGCUUUAAUCCUAAAUUAUCAUCAUGGCAACACAAGAAAUAAGUUAGGGAAAGAGAUUAUACUUUCAUGCAAGAUCUAUAUGGUGGAGGAGGAAACUCUUGGUAGAGAUCCUAAUGGUUGAGGAAAAAAAGAGUUAGGAGAGGCAGAGUGAGUCUCACUCAAUACCUUGAGUCUCAGGAAGAUCAAGAUAUGACAAGACUACUUAACUUCACUAGAACUCAAGAGAUGGAAGAGAGUGGAUUUUUGUGUGCAUUAGAAUGAAGGAGAGAGAGUUUAUAUAGUAAUAGUGGAGGAAAUAUGAAUGGAAGACCAUUUAAUGAGGGUUGACAAAGAAUCAUGAACCUAGAUGGCUAGACCUCAUUUUAGCAUUAGAAAAAAUCUGGUGCAUUAAAUGGAAAGAUUGGUAGGAGUAAGGAGUAAGCCAAAAUUCGAUUUUCCCGUAGCUGCUGUAACAGCCUAUAGAGCUAACUUCGAAAAAUCAUAUCUAACUCAAUUCUGAUCGAAAUUGUCUCGUUCUUAUACUCAAAUUGAAGCCCCGGAUGUCUAGUUUCUGAGAAAAUUAACCUCAUUCACAGAUUCAAAAUAUUCUGAGAGAUAUCAAUGAAAUGGUGAGCAAAGGUCAUUUGUUAGAAAAUGGUUUCAGCACAAUUAACAUUAAUAGGUCCCAAAUUAGCUCCCAAUUAACAUUAAAUGGCACCAAUCACUCUCAUUUCAGACUUAAUUGGUUCCAAAUUUACUCUAAUUAAAAGAUAAUUGCACAAAUUACUCAUUUAAUAAUUAAUGUUUAACUAUCUAAUUAAUUAGGUGUAUGCAACCUCACCAUAAAAUGUAGUUCUAAUCAAUCAAAUUAUAACACAUCAUUGAUCUCAAAUUGAUUACACUUAUAACCCAUUGAAAUCAAUUAUUCAUAAUCACAUAUAGUCGGAUUCAAUUUGUGAUAGUACAUUUUAGCUAUUAAAACUUGAUUUGAUGAUAACUUUCGAUCUAGUGGUCCGAUUAGGGCUUAUGACUAGUCAAUUUUGAUCGUUACAACAUUAAGAUCAUUUUGGUGAAAUGAGUCUAAGGAUCUAAUGGCCAGAAUUAAGAUGCAUAUUUCCAAGGAAAAAUUACUCUUUUACCUUCCAAGUGAGGUUAAAUGCGGGUUGCAAAAUGAGGUGUCAACACCACUAGAAGAGGCGUGCUCAUAAGGCCCGCAAUGAGAACCUGAAAGAGGAAAAAGCCCUAGAAUUAAAGAAGAGAGUUGACCCUACCCCUCUUGAAGAACUUAAACCAUAUAUAUUAGUUCAGAAAAGAAGGAAACUAGCUAAAUAGAACAAACCUCAAAAGAAAAACUUAGAAUUGGAUGGCGAUGAGGUCGUGCUUGCGAAGCAGCACCACCAAGCCCAAUGAGUGUCUUGGCGUGGAAUUGCCAGGGUUUGGGGUCAUCCCUGGCAGUCAGGACUCUCACUGAUGAGGUGAAGGUAAAAAACCCAGUUUUGGUCUUCCUAUUAGAGACCAAGGCUAGUGUGAGUCGGAUGAAAGGGCUUCAGAGAAAAUUGGAGCUUACUCAAGGAAUUUUGGUACCGAGAGAUGGCCAAAGCAGUGACUUAUGAUAUGGCGUAAGGGAGUAGAUGUGACGCUUCGGAGUUGUUUGAACUCACAUAUUGAUGUUGUCGUGAUCGGUGAGGGUCGGGCGUUUUCAUGGAAGGCAACUGGAUUCUAUGGCCACCUUGAUGCUAGAAAAAGGCAUAUCUCAUGGGAGCUGCUAAGGAUGAUGAAAAAUCAAAGCACGCUGUUGUGGGUUGUGCUUGGUGACUUCAACAAAAUCGUUCAUCCGGAGGAAAAGUUAGGUUGGUUGGAACGGGAUGUGGAUCAAAUGAGAAAUUUUCGGGAAUGUCUGAAUUUGUGUGGGUUGCUUGAUCUGGGUUUGUGGGGCAGAGGUUCACCUGGUGCAAUGGUAGAUAUGGGGAGCAAAGAACGAUGA
rnacentral:sRNA from 1 species